rnacentral:lncRNA from 1 species
AUGACCACUGAUCCAACAGAGCAGGCCCUGGCCGCCACCCACACAGAGAUGACCACUGAUCCAACAGAGCAGACCCUGGCCGCCACCCACACAGAGAUGACCACUGACCCAACAGAGCAGACACUGGCCGCCACCCACACAGAGAUGACCACUGAUCCAACAGAGCAGACCCUGGCCGCCACCCACACAGAGAUGACCACUGACCCAACAGAGCAGACCCUGGCCGCCACCCACACAGAGAUGACCACUGACCCAACAGAGCAGACCCUGGCCGCCACCCACACAGAGAUGACCACUGAUCCAACAGAGCAGACCCUGGCCGCCACCCACACAGAGAUGACCACUGAUCCAACAGAGCAGACCCUGGCCGCCACCCACACAGAGAUGACCACUGACCCUACAGAGCAGACCCUGGCCGCCACCCACACAGAGAUGACCACUGAUCCAAAAGAGCAGACACUGGCCGCCACCCACACAAAGAUGACCACUGAUCCAACAGAGCAGACCCUGGCCGCCACCCACACAGAGAUGACCACUGAUCCAAAAGAGCAGACCCUGGCCGCCACCCACACAGAGAUGACCACUGAUCCAACAGAGCAGACCCUGGCCGCCACCCACACAGAGAUGACCACUGAUCCAACAGAGCAGACCCUGGCCGCCACCCACACAGAGAUGACCACUGACCCAACAGAGCAGACCCUGGCCGCCACCCACACAGAGAUGAACACUGACCCAACAGAGCAGACCCUGGCCGCCACCCACACAGAGAUGACCACUGAUCCAACAGAGCAGACCCUGGCCGCCACCCACACAGAGAUGACCACUGAUCCAACAGAGCAGACCCUGGCCGCCACCCACACAGAGAUGACCACUGACCCUACAGAGCAGACCCUGGCCGCCACCCACACAGAGAUGACCACUGAUCCAAAAGAGCAGACCCUGGCCGCCACCCACACAGAGAUGACCACUGAUCCAACAGAGCAGACCCUGGCCGCCACCCACACAGAGAUGACCACUGACCCAAAAGAGCAGACCCUGGCCGCCACCCACACAGAGAUGACCACUGAUCCAACAGAGCAGACCCUGGCCGCCACCCACACAGAGAUGACCACUGAUCCAACAGAGCAGACCCUGGCCGCCACCCACACAGAGAUGACCACUGAUCCAACAGAGCAGACCCUGGCCGCCACCCACACAGAGAUGACCACUGAUCCAACAGAGCAGACCCUGGCCGCCACCCACACAGAGAUGACCACUGACCCAACAGAGCAGACCCUGGCCGCCACCCACACAGAGAUGACCACUGACCCAACAGAGCAGACCCUGGCCGCCACCCACACAGAGAUGACCACUGACCCAACAGAGCAGACCUUGGCCGCCACCCACACAGAGAUGACCACUGACCCAACAGAGCAGACCCUGGCCGCCACCCACACAGAGAUGACCACGGACCCAACAGAGCAGCCCUGGCCGCCACCCACACAGAGAUGA